AACGAACGCUGGCGGCAGGCCUAACACGUGCAAGUCGAACGCUCCAGCAAUGGAGAGUGGCAGACGGGUGAGUAACGCGAGGGAACCUACCCUUUGGUUCGGAAUAGCCCAGGGAAACUUGGGGUAAUACCGGAUAAGCCCUUCGGGGGAAAGAUUUAUCGCCAUUGGAUGGGCCCGCGUCGGAUUAGCUAGUUGGUGGGGUAAUGGCCUACCAAGGCGACGAUCCGUAGCUGGUCUGAGAGGAUGAUCAGCCACACUGGGACAGAGCCACGGCCCAGACUCGUACGGGAGGCAGCAGUGGGUAAUAUUGGACAAUGGGCGCAAGCCUGAUCCAGCCAUGCGGCGUGAGUGACGAAGGUCUUCGGCUUGCAAAGCUCUUUUGGCGGGGACGAUAAUGACGGUACCCGCAGAAUAAGCUCCGGCUAACUUCGUGCCAGCCGCCGCCGUAA
rnacentral:rRNA from 1 species